UCAAAAGCUCUAGAGACUGACAUCCUCUGUCCAUGGAACAGGUACAGCAUAGCUAGCAGCAGUGCAAACGUCUCCCACAUAACCCUGCCAGAGUACCUUCAUUCCUGUUCCGGAGAGACCACCACUUCCGACGUAGGGUGACAUGGUAGUUCAUUUUCCACAUCCUUUUAAUCUUUGACCCCU
ensembl:misc_RNA